AUUGAACGCUGGCGGCAGGCCUAACACAUGCAAGUCGAGCGGAUGAAGGGAGCUUGCUCCUGGAUUCAGCGGCGGACGGGUGAGUAAUGCCUAGGAAUCUGCCUGGUAGUGGGGGAUAACGUCCGGAAACGGGCGCUAAUACCGCAUACGUCCUGAGGGAGAAAGUGGGGGAUCUUCGGACCUCACGCUAUCAGAUGAGCCUAGGUCGGAUUAGCUAGUUGGUGGGGUAAAGGCCUACCAAGGCGACGAUCCGUAACUGGUCUGAGAGGAUGAUCAGUCACACUGGAACUGAGACACGGUCCAGACUCCUACGGGAGGCAGCAGUGGGGAAUAUUGGACAAUGGGCGAAAGCCUGAUCCAGCCAUGCCGCGUGUGUGAAGAAGGUCUUCGGAUUGUAAAGCACUUUAAGUUGGGAGGAAGGGCAGUAAGUUAAUACCUUGCUGUCUUGACGUUACCAGCAGAAUAAGCACCGGCUAACUUCGUG
rnacentral:rRNA from 1 species